CUACUACACAUUAUGCCAGAGAGAAUAUUGGUACAAGAAAAAGUGCUAAUUAUACAUAUUUUGAUGGCUACAAAAAAUGCUAUAACCAAUUUAUGGAAAACAAAACAUGUGCCAUCAUUAAGUAUAAUAAGGGAAAAGGUCUCUACUACCAAAAUCUACGAGGAGAUGGCAUGUAGGCUAAAAGGCAAACAAGAUAUUAAUGUUAAAAUUUGGGUGAG